rnacentral:rRNA from 1 species
AUUGAACGCUGGCGGCAUGCCUUACACAUGCAAGUCGAACGGCAGCACGGGUGCUUGCACCUGGUGGCGAGUGGCGAACGGGUGAGUAAUACAUCGGAACAUGUCCUGUAGUGGGGGAUAGCCCGGCGAAAGCCGGAUUAAUACCGCAUACGAUCUACGGAUGAAAGCGGGGGACCUUCGGGCCUCGCGCUAUAGGGUUGGCCGAUGGCUGAUUAGCUAGUUGGUGGGGUAAAGGCCUACCAAGGCGACGAUCAGUAGCUGGUCUGAGAGGACGACCAGCCACACUGGGACUGAGACACGGCCCAGACUCCUACGGGAGGCCGCAGUGGGGAAUUUUGGACAAUGGGCGAAAGCCUGAUCCAGCAAUGCCGCGUGUGUGAAGAAGGCCUUCGGGUUGUAAAGCACUUUUGUCCGGAAAGAAAUCCUUGGCCCUAAUACGGUCGGGGGAUGACGGUACCGGAAGAAUAAGCACCGGCUAACUACGUG